rnacentral:lncRNA from 1 species
ACACUGGGUUUCUGGGUUUUGAGGAGAGCACACUAGCAGUUUUUUUUUUUUCUCAUCGUUUCAUAUCAUGGAGUAUAUGGUAUAAUAUGAUUAAUCACUAGGGAUCUCAACCCUGAUCUCUUUGGUAAGAUGGUAUGUGCCAGUUUCUCUACUAUAAGGUUACUCUUUUUCCCUCACUAAGUUCAGCCUACAUUCAAAGGAAGAGAAAUUAAGCUCCACCUCCUGGAGGGGUUACUAUCUACAUGUAUAAUUUGUAAUUCUUUUGCAAGGAAAAGCUGUUCCUUCUCCCAAUUUAGUUACUUAUUUUAUCAUGUAUUUCUGGAAGUAUGGACUCAUGGAUUGUGUUUAUUUUCCACCAUCAUUAAUAUAUGUUUCAUUACAUAAUU